CGAGUGAAGCGGCAACAGCUCAAAUUUGAAAUCUGGCGCAAGCCCGAGUUGUAAUUUGUAGAGGAUGCUUCUGGCCCAGCGGCCGUUCUAAGUUCCUUGGAACAGGACGUCAUAGAGGGUGAGAAUCCCGUAUGUGACCGGCGCGCAGCCUUUACGUAGCUCCUUCGACGAGUCGAGUUGUUUGGGAAUGCAGCUCUAAAUGGGAGGUAAAUUUCUUCUAAAGCUAAAUACCGGCCAGAGACCGAUAGCGCACAAGUAGAGUGAUCGAAAGAUGAAAAGCACUUUGGAAAGAGAGUUAAAAAGCACGUGAAAUUGUUGAAAGGGAAGCGCUUGCAACCAGACUUCGUAGCGAUGUUCCGCUGGUCUUUUGACCGGUCUACUCAUCGUCGCGAGGCCAACAUCGUCUGGGCCCGCUGGAUAAGACCUAAGGAAUGUAGCUUCCCUCGGGAAGUGUUAUAGCCUGUGGUGAUGCAGCGCGGCUCGGGCGAGGUCCGCGCUUCGGCAAGGAUGUUGGCGUAAUGGUUGUCAGCGGCCCGUCUUGAAACACGGACCAAGGAGUCUAACAUCUAUGCGAGUGUUCGGGUGUCAAACCCCUACGCGUAAUGAAAGUGAACGGAGGUGGGAAGCGCAAGCUGCACCAUCGACCGAUCCUGAUGUCCUCGGAUGGAUUUGAGUAAGAGCAUAGCUGUUGGGACCCGAAAGAUGGUGAACUAUGCCUGAAUAGGGUGAAGCCAGAGGAAAACUCUGGUGGAGGCUCGCAGCGGUUCUGACGUGCAAAUCGAUCGUCAAAUUUGGGUAUAGGGGCGAAAGACUAAUC
rnacentral:rRNA from 1 species